AGAGAGCAAGCUGCAAUCUUGAGGAGCAGACGGAUCUGAUUGCCUGGGGUGCUGGGCUGGGCGCACCCCACUGCUGCUGGGGGUCACCCCAAGAGCCCCCCACCCAUCCAAGGAAAGGAAUAAACUUAACCGCUGGAGGGGCAUGAGGAGCUCAGCCCCCCCAACCUCGACAGCAGCUAACAGAAACGCCAGGAGCAGCAGGAGGAGGAGGCAGCGACAAGAACUGCAAGGUCCAUGAGGGCAGAGGCAGUGUCUGUUGCUGGGUGAGUGACUGGAUUGAGCUCAAAGCAUGUCUGAAGACUGAAAUGGGCCAGGCAAGGAGAUGGAAA
rnacentral:lncRNA from 1 species